AGGUAUGCUGUCAGUCCAGAGAACAUCAUCCUGUAUGGUCAAAGCAUUGGUACUGUCCCAACGGUAGAUCUUGCAUCACGCUAUGAAUGUGCAGCUGUUAUUCUUCAUUCCCCUCUUAUGUCUGGCUUGCGAGUGGCAUUCCCUGAUACCAGGAAAACUUACUGCUUUGAUGCAUUUCCAAGCAUUGACAAGAUAACCAAGGUAUCUUCUCCUGUGCUGGUAAUUCAUGGCACCGCAGAUGAGGUGAUUGAUUUUUCCCAUGGCCUUGCAAUGUAUGAGCAAUGUCCAAGAGCAGUGGAACCUCUCUGGGUCGAGGGAGCAGGACACAAUGACAUUGAGCUUUAUGCGCAGUAUGUGGAAAGACUGAAACAAUUCAUAGAUCACGAGAUAUCCAUCUCCUGAAAACUAUUGUAAGGAUGUUUUCUUGACAAAUGUGAAUGGAAGAACUGAUCUGUGAAGUAAUUUGCACAUGGUUUAACUGGAUAACGAAUUUUCAACAAUACAGAAGCUACCAACUUUCAGGCUGAAUUAUUUGAAACACUGAACAAAAUCUUUUUUUAACACCAGGAAAAUUCAUGUGAUUUAUACACCUUGCACAUGAAAUAAUGUUCAACUACUGUAACUUUCAAACAGUUUUUGAAGGUUAUUAAUCCUGUCAUUCUACCUUGUUUGUUCCAUUCCUUGACUCAUCAGAGGUAUAGAAUUUUGUUUUAAUAUUUGCCACAAUUAUCCUUUUUUGAGUUUUGUUUGCAACUAACUCAUAAACUGGAUUCUUUUUGAUACAGUAUAACAGCAUGACAUGUCAUACGGUUGUGACUUUGUAGAUGAAACGGCCCUUCAUUGAAGGACCAACCCAACAUGAAGAAUGUGAUUGAAAUGUUUGUCACAUUCUUAAUAUUUCUAACAUUGCCUCAAAGUACUGUUCAGUAUUUGUAAAACUCAGUGAGUUUGGAAAGAAAUGUUCCACUUAUUUGCUAAAGAAUGCAGUUCUUUUGUAAAUGUUCUUAAUAUUCCAAUAUGCGUGGAGGUUUUUUCCAUGUUAAAAAUGUGAAACAAUACCUCAAGUAUAUCCCCGAUGGUGCAGAAUAUGGCAUGUAGCCGUAAACAAUUUUUUGCCAAUGUGUAAAUUUAUGAACUAUUUUGACUGUUUUAAAGUUUCAAUGUAUAUUGUUUUUCAGGGUAGGUAAUAUAAUACUUUUCAAUUGCAAUUCUUAAAGUAACUGUUAUAUCUUAAAUUGCAGUGUUUGUAUAUGGUGUCUUUCAAGGUUAUGGAAACAUUUUUUGUUUCAAAAAAGUGUUGAGAAUAGAUGUGAUAACUGCCUAAUUUGUAUGCUUUAAUCUGUGAAAUGUGUUUUGUUUGUGGAUGUAACUAUUUUUAUUCUUGAUUACUUAAAAUUCAAUUUCUUAGAAAAUGUGUUACCAUUUAAAUUUCAUAAAUUUACACAUCUGUAUUUUCUACAGGAACAGAUGUAAUUUACCAAUUUUAGUUGCAAUAACCAGCGAUUUGAGGUUAUGAUUUUGACACUGGAAUUACAUUGAAAUGUACAUAAAUAAUGCAAGACAUGAGGAAUACCAUAACCAGACAAACAAAUCAAAGCCUUAAAUGUACUGUAAGCCUCUGCUGUAUAUUUGGUUUCAGUAGUUCAUUGUUGCUUACCUGCAACUUACAACAAUGAGUAGUAAUGGAAUGAAGGAUGCAUGGAAUUUAGGUUGAGAAUUUAAAUUAGAACUGUUUGUGUAUAGUAAAAAGCAAGAAGAAACAAUAUCGCACAAUUGCAGAAUGUCAUGUGGUAUGAUCAGUCAAAAAAUGUGACUUUAAAAUUUAAUUAAACAUUGAAUAUAUUGUGGAAAA